ACACCUUCCCCACAGUGUAAAUUCCCUAACCCUCUUUCUUCCCCACCCCCACCCAACCAGAAGAACCCCUUUUCUUUCACACAGUGCAUAAUAUAUACAGUUGAGUGAUUAUGGACCCGGAAGUUUAGAUCUCAGACAUGGUCUAAAUUUCUUGUUCAGCGUGCAAAUGUUCAAUUCUCCAUUUUUUGUAAUUUUUUUUUUUUCAAGAAAAGCGUCUUUCUUGAUAAUCUACGUAAUCAUUCUCUCUCUCUCUCUUUCAAAGAUGCUAAUUAUUAUUAUCUAUACACAAGUAGUCAAUAUCAGAAUAUGAAGCGCCAUUUCUUAGUCCCAAUUAUAUCUUUAUCUUUUUGCGUUUGGUGGCGUAGUACUGAUUUACAAGCUGAUCCACCAACAUAAGAUAAGGUUAAUCUAUGCUGCUCGAAUCUGGCAACUCCAUCGAUCCACCUGCUUUUUCUUGAUUUGAAAUCAUAAUGGAAAUAGGGCGCAGUUUUUGUUCUUUUCUCGAUCUCUUGUCUGGAAAUGUGUUUCAAAAGUUUACGUUUUCCCCAUUUGUAAUAAGCCACAUCAGAUUCCUGCUAAUGGGCUUAAUUUCUUGAUGUUUUUCUUUUCUUUUUUUUGUUUUUUGAAAUCCGAAGUGCACAUAUAUUCCAGUCUUCAAUCCCUCGAAAACGCACACACACACACACUCUUUGAUACAUCUAAGUUAUAAAUGUUUUCCAAUUCCCAUUACGGAGAAACAAUCAAGGGUUUUGUCUCUGCAAAUCUUGGAGAUUUUUAUGCAUGGAUCUGUACAUAACAUAAUAUACAGUCGUUGUUUUCUGGUGUAGCAUCAUCAAGAUUCACAUGCAAAGGCAUGGUGGCUGGUAAUUAAGCUGAUAUAUCACCCCUCUCUCUCUCUCUCUCUCUCUCUCUCUCUCUACACCGAAGCUUUUAGGUGGUGAGAAUCUUGAUGAUGCUGCAUCGGCAAUAAACGACUAGCGAGGCUGUAAGAAUGUAUUCAUGAAAAAGAUUGAUCCACAGACAAAAAUGUAAUAGAAUGCACAAGUUUAGGAGUGGUGGUGGACCAAACAUACUUGCAACUUGCCUAUGACAAGUAGUCUUCCUCAUUGAAAGUGCACAAAAGAAAACCCAAUGGGGCCAGCCAAGUUGAGAUAGAUCAUACAUACUAAGUUGUUCAAACCUCUUCGCUCCUUGUCAAAUCAGGUUUUGUGUUUAAACUCCUUUUCUUGAUGACUUGAUCUUAAGUAGUUUCGUAAAUUCUGUCAAAGUCAAGCUUGGGGACACAAAGGGUGUAUGCAAAAGCUUAAAUUAAAGCCAUUAUCAGUUCUUUGUACUGAAAAUAAGUCAAAUUGAGUGUUUGACGUAACAUUUGUCUGAACUACUUGGAUUAAGUUAAUUUAAGUCAAAAGUUUGUAAGCA